rnacentral:rRNA from 1 species
CUACGGGCCGCAGCAGUCGCGAAACCUUUACAAUGCGCGAAAGCGUGAUAAGGGGAUUUCGAGUGCUUGCGUUGCAAGCUUUUGCAAAGUGUAAAAAGCUUUGCGAAUAAGUGGAGGGUAAUAUACGUGCCAGCCGCCGCGGUAAUACGUAAUCCACUAGUGGUGCCCACUAAUAUUGGGCCUAAAGCAUCUGUAGCCGGUUCAAAAAGUUUUUGGUGAAAUCAAUGAGCUUAACUUAUUGAAUUGCCAAAAAUACUCUUGAACUCGAGGCCGGGAGAGGUUAGGGGAAUUCCAGGAGUAGGAGUGAAAUCCAGAGAUCCUUGGAAGACCACCCGUAGCGAAGGCGCCUAACCAGAACGGACCUGACGGUGAGAGAUGAAAGCUGGGGGAGCGACCCGGAUUAGAUACCCUGGUAGUC